UGGGCACCCGCCAUGAGCGCAUAGCCCGCUGCCGAGGGUACAGCCGAGAACAUGAUGCUGAGCUUCCGGCCCAGGAGGUCGUUGAGCACCAUGGCACUGAGGCCCCCGGCCGCCGCACCCAAGAUGGACGUAACCUGGUGCCCACUUCCUUCGCUGCCGUGUGGGCAGAGAGCAGCUGGUAGCCUUGAUUCAGAUCCUCCUGAAGUUCUGGUCCCUCCAGAUGAGUCUGCUGGCUUCCAACUGCCCCGGAAACUAGCCUAGCUGCAUUCCAGACCCCCUGGCACAGGGGAAAAGGUCUCCCAGGAGGGCAGUGGGGCUGAACCUGACUUCCAGCCCCCGUCAUCUCAAGGGAGAAGAUGGGCCAGCCAGGGCCCCCCGGUGAGAAGGUCUCUGACACCCAGCUGUCCGGCGCUCCCGCCACCCCCCACCAUGCCGCGGCUGAUGCCAUCCCUGGCCCCGAGGACUCGGACCUGCUGCCCUCCCUGACCCUGGCUGCAGCUCUGGUUCUGUUGUUCCUCCUGCUCUCGGCCUGGCUGGUAUGGGACAGGCCCCUCCGAGGCUCUUGCUAAUGUGGGCUCCCCAGCAGGGGGUGUGGGUAUCCCUGGGCCGGGAGUGACACCGGCCCCGCCCCAAGCCACACCCUGGGCCAAACCCUGUGGC